GGAGGAUUUCCUAGGGCGAUACAAAGCCGUCUUUAAGACUGCGUGUGAAGAUCCUUGGAGUAUGUCACCAAGAAUUUCUCUGCAUUCCUUGAGAGAAUUCCUUGUCUGUGUGCACCUCAAGCUGUAUUCCUCUAACAAUCCAUGGACAGCAUAUGUAUAUGCUGAAAAAACUCUUCACACCAAUCUCUCUGCAAAUAAGUUUGAUCUUGGACUUACAGGAGACCGUGGGAAAUUGAAGAUAUGGUUGUUCGGAAAACAAAUAAGCACAUCAAUAAGGCUUCAUAAAAACACUUGGAACCAAAUAUGUAUCCAGUGGAAAAGUGACAAUGAGGAGGUGAAGUUAUUCAUAAAUGGAACAGUAAAAUUACACAAGAAAGUAAAUGGGAAAUUUUCUUUGCCUGCAAGAGGCCAGUUCUUACUUGGCUGUUCAAAGCUGCAGGGUACAGCUGCAGCACCUCGCCAGGGUAUGACUGGGGAGCUGUACCUGUUCAGAAUGUGGGACAAGGCAAAUAUAACACAAUCUGAGGACUGCCAGGACAGUGGUGUUAUUCGCUGGAGAAAGGAGGAUUGGAUCUAUAACACAACAGUAGAAGAGGAUAACUCUUUGCAAUGUGUUGAAACUACUGCCACACUGCCUAGCAGAAGAAUGACAGAUUCUGAAGAAUCAGCUGCAACAACAAGUUUUGAUAUGUCUUCAGAGGAGACUACACAAAGUACAGAAGCCCUUACAACAACAGAUUAUUACUACUCCACCAUCACACCAGCAGGAGAAACCAUUGUAUGCAACAUAACACGUGCCUGUAAUUAUUCAGGUUAGUGGUUUUCUUUUCCCUUUUUUUACAUAAAAUAUUAUCCAACUAUUUAAUACACUGAGUAAUGAAGCA
rnacentral:lncRNA from 1 species